rnacentral:rRNA from 1 species
AUUGAACGCUGGCGGUAUGCCUUACACAUGCAAGUCGAACGGUAGAGGGGCAACCCUUGAGAGUGGCGAACGGGUGAGUAAUACAUCGGAACGUGCCCAGUCGUGGGGGAUAACGUAGCGAAAGCUACGCUAAUACCGCAUACGACCUGAGGGUGAAAGCGGGGGAUCGCAAGACCUCGCGCGAUUGGAGCGGCCGAUGGCAGAUUAGGUAGUUGGUGGGGUAAAGGCCUACCAAGCCCGCGAUCUGUAGCUGGUCUGAGAGGACGACCAGUCACACUGGGACUGAGACACGGCCCAGAGUCCUACGGGAGGCAGCAGUGGGGAAGUUUGGACAAUGGGCGAAAGCCUGAUCCAGCCAUACCGCGUGCGGGAAGAAGGCCUUCGGGUUGUAAACCGCUUUUGUCAGGGAAGAAAUCUUCUGGGUUAAUACCUCGGGAGGAUGACGGUACCUGAAGAAUAAGCACCGGCUAACUACGUGCCAGCCGCCGCGGUAAAAC